rnacentral:rRNA from 1 species
AAAAUUGCCCCCGUAACUUAGGGAGAAGGGGGGCCGGAGACGUGAAGCCCCGCGCGGGUGGAGCGUUGUAUGGCCGCAGAGAGCAGGGGGAAGCGACUGUUUACUAAAAACACAGGUCCAUGCGAAGAAGUAAUUCGAUGUAUAUGGACUGACGCCUGCCCGGUGCUGGAACGUUAAGGGGACCUGUUAGCUCUUCGGGGCGAAGCGGAGAACUUAAGCGCCAGUAAACGGCGGUGGUAACUAUAACCAUCCUAAGGUAGCGAAAUUCCUUGUCGGGUAAGUUCCGACCUGCACGAAUGGCGUAACGACUUCCCCACUGUCUCAACCACAGGCCCGGCGAAAUUGCAGUACGAGUAAAGAUGCUCGUUACGCGCGGCAGGACGGAAAGACCCCGGGACCUUUACUAUAGCUUGACAUUGGUACUCGAAUUAGCUUGUGUAGGAUAGGUGGGAGCCGGUGAAGUCCAUACGCCAGUAUGGGUGGAGGCAAUCUUGAAAUACCACUCUGGUUGAUUUGGGUAUCUAACUUCGGACCGUUAUCCGGUUCAGGGACAGUGUCUGGUGGGUAGUUUAACUGGGGCGGUUGCCUCCUAAAAGGUAACGGAGGCGCCCAAAGGUUCCCUCAGCCUGGUUGGCAAUCAGGUGUUGAGUGCAAGUACACAAGGGAGCUUGACUGUGAGACUGACAGGUCGAGCAGGGACGAAAGUCGGGACUAGUGAUCCGGCACUUGCGAGUGGAAGCGGUGUCGCUCAACGGAUAAAAGGUACCCCGGGGAUAACAGGCUGAUCUUCCCCAAGAGUCCAUAUCGACGGGAUGGUUUGGCACCUCGAUGUCGGCUCGUCGCAACCUGGGGCUGUAGCAGGUCCCAAGGGUUGGGCUGUUCGCCCAUUAAAGCGGUACGCGAGCUGGGUUUAGAACGUCGUGAGACAGUUCGGUCCCUAUCCGCCGUGCGCGUAGGAUACUUGAGAAGGGCUGUCCCUAGUACGAGAGGACCGGGACGGACGAACCUCUGGUGUGCCAGUUGUCCCGCCAGGGGCACGGCUGGUUAGCUACGUUCGGAAGGGAUAACCGCUGAAAGCAUCUAAGCGGGAAGCCUGCUUCAAGAUGAGGUAUCCCACCCACUUUGUGGGGUAAGGCCCCCAGCUAGACGACUGGGUUGAUAGGCCGGAAAUGUAAGCCCGGUAACGGGUUCAGUUGACCGGUACUAAUAGGCCGAGGACUU